rnacentral:rRNA from 1 species
CCUACGGGAGGCAGCAGUGGGGAAUAUUGGACAAUGGGCGAAAGCCUGAUCCAGCAAUUCCGCGUGUGUGAAGAAGGCCUUCGGGUUGUAAAGCACUUUAGGUUGGGAAGAAAAAACUUCUCCUAAUACGAGAAGCGUUGACGGUACCAACAGAAUAAGCACCGGCUAACUCUGUGCCAGCAGCCGCGGUAAUACAGAGGGUGCAAGCGUUAAUCGGAUUUACUGGGCGUAAAGCGUGCGUAGGUGGUUUCGUAAGUCGGAUGUGAAAGCCCCGGGCUCAACCUGGGAACUGCAUUCGAUACUGCGAGACUCGAGUUUGGUAGAGGGUGGCGGAAUUCCCGGUGUAGCGGUGAAAUGCGUAGAUAUCGGGAGGAACAUCAAUGGCGAAGGCAGCCACCUGGGCCUGAACUGACACUGAGGCACGAAAGCGUGGGUAGCAAACAGGAUUAGAUACCCUGGUAGUCCACGCCGUAAACGAUGAGAACUUGACGUUGGUUCGUUUUACGAAUCGGUGUCGUAGCUAACGCGAUAAGUUCUCCGCCUGGGGAUACGGCCGCAAGGUUGAAACUUAAAUGAAUUGACGGCUGAGAGNGCGAGCGACGACGAGGGAGAG